AUGUAUGGAGGGAACCCAGUAAGUCAACGAGGGAAGUCCUGGAAGUCCUUUCAGCAUCAGGGCUGGAUUGCAAAGCAGAUGAUCUUGUUCUCUCAUUCAAAAUGCCCUCUUUGUUUCUUUUAUUUAUUAGGGCUACUGUUUUCUCCUGGCACCCGAACUGCUUUGGAGGUUUUGCUAGUCUCCACUGACCACCAAUUUCCAAUACUGGAGAUGCUGGACAUCAGACCAGAAGAGGACCUUGUGCUGCAAGGACACAAUGACCACAAGGAGCACUUCAGCAGUAAAGUGCCAUACUCUGCUGAACAAACUUGGCAUCUCGUCAAGCUGACUUAUUUGACCUGUAUUUACAGAAGACACAACCCAAGACAGAGAGGUUGCCUUUCCACAAAUGGUCCCAGAAUACUUAGGAUUCAUCUAGUUUAAAUUCUCAUGAAAUGCAGGGAGAGAUGUUAUAAGCAUGAUCUGGACAGAGAUCAAAAUCAGAGAUGAAAACCUUAUUUCCACUAGAAAUGCCAUCUGUUUGAACAGGUUAGAUGAAAGACACAGGAAAGUUCUUGCAUGACUUGCUCAUAACAUUGUGCUGGCCCUCCAAAGGGAUGAGCAAUCUCUGCUCCCGUUGAAAGUAGCGUGUCUAUGUUGGUCAGGCUUUGUCGGGUACAGGCAAUGGCGGCUUAAUUGUCUCCUAGAAGACAAGGUAACUUUGAGGAGAAUUUUCCUGCAUAUUUCUUGGAACUAAUUUCUACUUCAGAUCCUAGAACUGUGUUUGAACUAAAGCAUUUCUGCUAGGGGGGAAGAAAACAAAACAUAACAACAAGACCAAAAAAAACCAACAGCAACAAAAAAGCCACCACAAAUCUCACUUCACCAGGCUGGGACCUGGCUCUAUAGCGGAUGGAGAAGCUGCUGGAGUAAUGGUAGAUUUGUUUUUUCUCCUGGGUGGAGACUGACAGGAAAGGUUUCAUGAGAUGGAAGAGAGUCAAAGAAAGAAAGUGAAACCAAGCAGUCAAUUUGCUAGCUGCAAUCUUUGAUCUGUGGCUGUCUGCAAACAGAAUUGGAGCUCUGUGAUUAGAUGUACAUGCUCAUUAUAUGUUGUACUCUCCAAGCAGGCAUUGUACAUACAGCACAAUGUAUUCCGCUUCCUUCUGCCCAAAUAUCUUUUUUCAUCUAUAUUGCAUUAAGACCUUGAGGCCUAUCAUCGGGGAAAGAAAAAAUACAAUUUUCUUAUUGUACAAUGCAUUUCAUUCCCAGCUGCUGUAUUAAAUUUAUUCUUAUUUGAAGUGGUGUCUGCGAGUAUAAAUCAUUUAAGUUUAUAUGUUUUUGUUGCUGCGGCAACAGUUUGACUAAUUGAAUUCCAAAGUGUCUCUCUCUAUUUCAAAGCUAUGAUAAAGGGCACACACGUUCUUAGCAGCAGAAGCCUGAAGCGAGAGGCAGGGGACAGGCAGCCCUGUCAAAAUGACAUGUCCUCCAUCUCCCCUGCAUGGGCUUACCGGUGGCACCCUUGGCAGUCGGUGGGGAGGAGGGCAAGGGCUAGGAGGAGUCACUGCUACCUGCAAGCUCCCCCUGAAUGCAAUACUCAGAAAUGCAGUCAAUGCCGUUAGCAGGAUGGAGGAGGCAUGGAAAAGCGGUGACAGGCUUUGGGAAGGUCACGAUUUCCCUCUCUGUCUCAGUGUUCCCCAUCAUUUAUCAGCUCCCAGCCUGAAGUGCUGGAGUACUUCAUGGUUUUAGACGUGCCCACGUUAUGUUAAGCCCAUCUUCUUUCCACAGGGACUUUUUGUGAGCUCCUGGGACUUGUCUGCUAGCUGGGAUCACACAUGUUCCCAAGGUAUUUCUUGCCCCGUCAGUUUUUAGGAGGAAAAUGCUCAUCAUAGCUAUGGCAGAGGGAUAGGGAAUACCCUGGGCAGCCCCAAAUUUUCCCUGUGGGACUUGCAGGACAAAUUCUACCCCGCUGUAUGAUUUUUUUCCAAUUGUAAACUAGAGGUAUGUGUUCCCCUAGACUGAGCCAGGAGGACUGGAACACUAAAGAGUGGCUCUUUGGAAGGGAAUUUGUCCUGAGAGGAUGGAAGAAGCAAUUCCUUUCCAGGCAGAAAUUUCCAGACAGGAACUAGCCCCUCUGUGCUAUUCCCAGCUUGUUCUGGCCACUUUUCGUAGCCUAGAGAGAGCUCAUUUUUUGUGUUAAUUAUGUAGGUGUUUAUUACGGCCACAAAAUGUUAAUAGACAGCCUAAUGGAAAUCACACUGGCUAAUGAGAAGCUCCUGAAUACCUGCUGCUUUUCUCUGGGAAUAACGGCAGCCACAAUUCAGCAGGAAAUAGCUUCCCCCACUCCUGCCCUGUGCUUUUACCUUAUGAUUACAUCGUGCUGUUAAUUUUGUCUGGAGCUCUGCGACCUGGGGGAAGGCCAGGACCUCUCUCUUCCAUCUGCCCAGAGGGGAUGGAGGGGUCUGCUUCCCUCUCCUGCUUUUUAAAGGGUAAUCUGUGAAGGGUUUUACAGAGCUUGAAAAGGUUACUGCGUGUGCCUGAGCUGAGGGUGGCAGGAAUGAAGUACAGGGAGCCCUGAUGGACCUCGCUCCUUCCUUUGCCUGCCUGCCCCCAGGGGAUGCUGUCAGAUGCGGGGCAUAUGCUGCAGACUGACAGCCCUGUUGUAGGCAAUCUCAGCUGCUGUUUAUUUUGGUGUCAUUUUAUUCCCAGCCCCAUUAGAUGCUCCACCAGCCACUCCAUGCUCAUGUAAUCAUCUCAGAUAGACAAACAGCAGGAACCUGCAACAGGCACUGGAAGGGGACAGAAUGGGGUGAUUCCUAGGUAAUUUGUUCAGAUGGUUAGGGUUUUUUGUUUUCUUCUUUAUUUGCUUUUUAACGAAUUUCCAAAGAUUUCUAUUACAUAAGUGCUUUAAAUCAAUAAUAAAAGGAA
ensembl:lncRNA